ACCUGCGGAAGGAUCAUUACAGAGUUCAUGCCCUCACGGGUAGAUCUCCCACCCUUGAAUACCCUACCUUUGUUGCUUUGGCGGGCCACGUUCGCGUGUCGGCUUCGGCUGGCUGUGCCCGCCAGAGGACCCAAACUCUUUUGUUUAGUGAUGUCUGAGUACUAUAUAAUAGUUAAAACUUUCAACAACGGAUCUCUUGGUUCUGGCAUCGAUGAAGAACGCAGCGAAAUGCGAUAAGUAAUGUGAAUUGCAGAAUUCAGUGAAUCAUUGAAUCUUUGAACGCACAUUGCGCCCCUUGGUAUUCCGAGGGGCAUGCCUGUUCGAGCGUCAUUAUGGACCACUCA
rnacentral:misc_RNA from 1 species